rnacentral:ribozyme from 1 species
UGCCCAGCAACUCCUAUCCCUACCUCCUCGUGGUACUGACCGGGGUACGAGUAACCUUGGGGAAGAUCGGGUAACCAACCCCCGGUAGGAACUUUGGUCGUAUGCUGACAGGGAAGG